rnacentral:rRNA from 1 species
CUGGCGGCGUGCUUAACACAUGCAAGUCGUACGAGAACGCUUCAGCUUGCUGAAGCAAGUAAAGUGGCGCACGGGUGAGUAACGCGUGGGUAAUCUACCUUCGAAUCGGGGAUAACUCGCCGAAAGGCGUGCUAAUACCGGAUGAUAUCUUUGUUACUUCGGUAACGAAGAUCAAGGGUGGCCUCUUCAUGAAAGCUACUGUUUGAAGAUGAGCCCGCGUACCAUUAGCUAGUUGGUAGGGUAAUGGCCUACCAAGGCUACGAUGGUUAGCUGGUCUGAGAGGAUGAUCAGCCACACUGGAACUGACACACGGUCCAGACUCCUACGGGAGGCAGCAGUGAGGAAUUUUGCGCAAUGGGGGCAACCCUGACGCAGCAACGCCGCGUGAGUGAAGAAGGCUUUCGGGUCGUAAAACUCUGUCAAGUGGGAAGAACCUGCAAUAUGCAAAUACCAUAUUGCACUGACGGUACCACUGAAGGAAGCACCGGCUAACUCCGUGCCAGCAGCCGCGGUAAUACGGGGGGUGCAAGCGUUAUUCGGAAUCAUUGGGCGUAAAGGGCGCGUAGGCGGCCAGUUAAGUCAGAUGUGGAAGCCCGGGGCUCAACCCCGGAAGUGCAUUUGAAACUAAUUGGCUUGAGUAUGGGAG